CGAAGGGUGCAAGCGUUACUCGGAAUUACUGGGCGUAAAGCGUGCGUAGGUGGUUUGUUAAGUCUGAUGUGAAAGCCCUGGGCUCAACCUGGGAACGGCAUUGGAUACUGGCUUACUAGAGUGCGGUAGAGGGUAGUGGAAUUCCCGGUGUAGCAGUGAAAUGCGUAGAUAUCGGGAGGAACAUCUGUGGCGAAGGCGACUACCUGGACCAGCACUGACACUGAGGCACGAAAGCGUGGGAGCAAACAGGAUU
rnacentral:rRNA from 1 species